AACAGGGCCUGGUGGCUGGAGAGGGGAUAAGAGUAUGGUGGAUUUCAGAGGCCCAAAAGCCCCAGGUCAUGCUCAGUUCUAGACCCUGCCACACGACUCCUGUUCCCACACCCCAAACAUCAGGACACAAAAAAGACAGGACAGAGGUCGCCGGGCCUACCGUGACUCUGCAGGUGAGGGAUGGAGGCCAGAAGUGGCAGGGGCAUAAGAGCUCCACUCAGGCUCUGUCGUGAAGAAGAUGGACCAGGGCUGCCAGAGGGCCCUGGCAGGCACCAGGCUGAGUCACAGGAAGGGUGCCUGUCUGUGCCUGAUGACACCAGGAGCAGCAGAGACACAGACAACUGAAGGAAGACACGGAGAGGGAAAGAAAUAUGGAUGAAGACAGCCAGGGGAACAGUUGCAGAGAGAACCCAGUGGCUUUGUUGUAGUGCCUGGAUCCAGCUGUGCCUGAAGACAACAUCAUUUAUCACCCUGAAGCUCUGAGUUACACAAGCCACAUAGCAACCUCUGGGAGUGAGCUCGACCCGUGUGCUUGCACACUAGAGUUCUCUCCAUCAGUUCCCAAUAAACUCCUCCAGCUCCUAAGAUCACAGAACCUUCUCAAGAAAGCAAAACUUACCGCAGGGCUGACUUCUCAGUUUGAGGACAAAAGAUGCUUGUCCAGUCAGACCCAAAUCUGGCUCCUUGGCCUCCUCUUUGCCAGGGACAGACUGGGACUGACCCAGCUCCAGGCCCCUCGCCGUGGCCCUGGAGCCCCUGAUGGGAUUCAGUGGGAAACUGCGCUGCUCAGGACAGGUUCUGCUCAUUUCCCAAAGUCUUAUUCUAGACAAUUCAAGCCAUGCAGGAUGGCAGGAGAGGGAGAAAGACGUCUCCUGAUGGUCACCCUCGCCUCAGAGGGAACCCGAGAGACCCAGCCGGCCCACUCCCCACACCUCCUGAGGUAUGUGCCUUCUGUUCUUGCCACUGAAAUGAUAGCUUGGCCUUGAUGGCCACCAAGAUGUUCCAGAACCUUCCUGGAUGAUGAGUGCAAUGGCUGCUUCCAUGUUGCCCAUAGCUUUAUGUGCCCCAAGCUGGUCAAGCCUGAUUCCUGACCCUUCAUGACAGAUAUCUCUGUUGGGGCUUUUCCUUGGAGGAUGAAUGAAUGAAUGCCUACCCACUGAAGAUGCCGCACCAAAGAUAGAUCCUGGUACUGAUCCCACCGAGUCGGCAUGGUGAGUCAGUGAGUUUACUAGGGUUCCUAAUAGGAAUAUCGUCCUCAGACAGCUGCAUCACUGAAAAUCCCACCCCAGCAAGGAUAAUGACUGCCCAGAAGCUGUACAGAUGGACUCCCCCUUCCAGUAACUGUCCACCUUCCAUAUGCUCCAACCGCUCCCUGGGCCGCAUGCCUCUAGGUGGUCCCCAGGUGAGGUCCCUUGGACCUCUCCCCACUACUUCUGUCGGGAGUGUUAGCAGCACACGACUGCCACCAUACAGGACUAAGAAGUCCUUUCUACUUGUGACUCCUCUGGAUCAAACUAACACUUAUGCCUUUCAAGUAUCAACUAGGUGUAAAAAUAAAAUUUGUUAUUAAUAAAUAAGAAAUUUAGGACCAGAGAGUUGAGUCAGCAGUAAA